GGGGGCGGGGCCUGUCGCCCGGGGAAACGACGCGUGGGUUUCCGUUGAGCGGCUGCUGGUAGACUCCCUGAACGGUUGCCUACCCCCCGACCCCAGCGGCGGGAAAGGGGCCUCUGAGGCUCCGGGCACCCAGGCCCCUGCGACAGCCCUUCCCGACGCCGCCGCGGGCUUCAGCGACAGUGGCUAGGGUUCGGGUUGGUCGCGACCUACCCGGGUGGGCCUCGGGGCCGGGUGGCCCACCGGCCGUUGCCCGCCCCAGUCCCCUACAGAUGGAGGGCCUUUGAAGAAUAUGCGGAAUGUGAGAGCGCCACACUUCUGAAGGCAACAUGUUUGGUUCCUUGCCCAAGGAUAGAGGCAGGUUAUGCACCAAACCUGAGAUGUACGGAAAGCUAAAAGAGAACAUGCUAAGGAAGAAGAUUCAA